GACGAUCGCUGGCGGCGUGCCUAAUACAUGCAAGUAGAACGCUGAAGAGAGGAGCUUGCUCUUCUUGGAAGAGUUGCGAACGGGUGAGUAACGCGUAGGUAACCUGCCUUGUAGCGGGGGAUAACUAUUGGAAACGAUAGCUAAUACCGCAUAACAAUGGAUGACCCAUGUCAUUUAUUUGAAAGGGGCAACUGCUCAACUACAAGAUGGACCUGCGUUGUAUUAGCUAGUAGGUGAGGUAACGGCUCACCUAGGCGACGAUACAUAGCCGACCUGAGAGGGUGAUCGGCCACACUGGGACUGAGACACGGCCAAGACUCCUACGGGAGGCAGCAGUAGGGAAUCUUCGGCAAUGGGGGCAACCCUGACCGAGCAACGCCGCGUGAGUGAAGAAGGUUUUCGGAUCGUAAAGCUCUGUUGUAAGUCAAGAACGAGUGUGAGAGUGGAAAGUUCACACUGUGACGGUAGCUUACCAGAAAGGGACGGCUAACUACGUGCCAGCCGCCGCCGUAA
rnacentral:rRNA from 1 species